GACCCGGUGGCGGAUGGUCCGCAUCUGUUUCUCUUAGAUAAUCAAUGAAAUUCAAAUGUCAGCAGAAUGAGCCCGUUCGAUCCGGGCCUGGGUCA